rnacentral:rRNA from 1 species
GACGAACGCUGGCGGCGUGCCUAAUACAUGCAAGUAGAACGCUGAAGGAGGAGCUUGCUUCUCUGGAUGAGUUGCGAACGGGUGAGUAACGCGUAGGUAACCUGCCUGGUAGCGGGGGAUAACUAUUGGAAACGAUAGCUAAUACCGCAUAAGAGUAGAUGUUGCAUGACAUUUGCUUAAAAGGUGCAAUUGCAUCACUACCAGAUGGACCUGCGUUGUAUUAGCUAGUUGGUGGGGUAACGGCUCACCAAGGCGACGAUACAUAGCCGACCUGAGAGGGUGAUCGGCCACACUGGGACUGAGACACGGCCCAGACUCCUACGGGAGGCAGCAGGAGGGAAUCUUCGGCAAUGGACGGAAGUCUGACCGAGCAACGCCGCGUGAGUGAAGAAGGGUUUCGGAUCGUAAAGCUCUGUUGUAAGAGAAGAAAGAGUGUGAGAGUGGAAAGUUCACACUGUGACGGUAUCUUACCAGAAAGGGACGGCUAACUACGUG